rnacentral:misc_RNA from 1 species
UUUCCGUAGGUGAACCUGCGGAAGGAUCAUUACAAAUCCAUCACGUCUCUCUCACUCACCCGAGACAACGUCUAACUGUUCCGAGCGUGAUGGCAUUGUCGUCGUCGCCGAUGGCGCCUCUCUCUGAGCGAGCGCCAACGUGCACACACACACGACCUUGCCUGAUCGCCGUACCUUUACACCCCCCCCUUUCUAAGCUGACGACCGUUGCUUCAUAUGUAUGCUUCAUGCGCAUCAACAACGCAAGAAACAACUUAUAACAAUGGAUCUCUAGGCUCUUGCAUCGAUGAAGAACGCAGC